rnacentral:rRNA from 1 species
AUGCCGCGAGGAGGAGGAGGAGGAGGAAGCAAGCAUGGCCGCACGGAGCAGCACCACCCACCGGCGACCGGCAGCCGCGACGAGGGCGCUCUGUCCCUCCCGACGCCGUCGCUCCCCGCCAUCGCUCCCGUGGCUUCUCAGGGCCCCCUCAUCGAAAUCCUGCCGCGCCUGCCCUACCGGUUGCUCUGCCGCUUCAGGUGCGUGUCCAAGCAGUGGCUCUCCCUCUGCUCCGACACAAACAUCGUCAAGAGAGCUCCCCAGACCCUUGCCGGAUUCUUCCACAGCCACGACGGCGACCUCCAUUUCAGCAAUUUGUCCGGGGGAGGCACCCCUCUGGUCGACCCUCCUUCAUUCCCUUUCCUGUGGUGCUCGAGGUACCAUAGUUUGCAGCUCGACCAAUGCAGCAGCGGCCUUGUCCUCUGCAAAUGCUGGGGUUUAGAAGAAGAAGAGGACGAGGACGACAAAGGAGAGUACGUUGUGUUCAAUCCUAUCACCAGGCAGUGGACCACGUUGCCUCCUAUACUAUGUCAGGACGGAGAGGAUGAUGACCCUGAGUAUUACGAACUAGUGGAUCCCUUCCUGGGUUUCGACCCGGCUGUUCCAUCUCGCUUCGUCGUGCUUGCACGCUUGGUAGAGUCGGUUGACCAUGUGGCAGUGUUCUCAUCUGAAACCGGACAAUGGACUCGGAUUAGUGGGUGGGAAUACAGACGGUGGAUCGCUGUUGCUGCAGAAUGCGUCUUCCUGAAUGGCAUGAUGCAUUUUAUGCAUUCCUUGCUCCAUAAACUUUCAAUAGCCGCAGUGGACACAGAGGAGAAGGUUUGUCGGGAAAUUCCUCUACCGGAAGAAAUGGAAGGAGACAGAUCUGGUUAUGGUUCAGUGGGGUGCUCUCAGGGACUCUUGCAUGCUUGGUUUAUAGAUCAUAAAAAUUACCAACUCUCUGUAUGGGUACUUGAGGAUUUCGGUAGCGGAGUGUGGACCCUAAAGCAUACUGUUGAUGUUCCGGAACUGUUUGGAAGGUAAUCUAACAAAGAGGAUUGUGAUGAAGAGGAUGAGACCUAUAAGUAUGACAUGUUUGCAGUUCAUCCUGAACAUAAUUUGAUUUUCCUUACUGACUGGGAGGAGGUGAAUCUGUCAUAAUACCAUAUGGACAGCGGGGAAGUGCAUCAUAUGUGCACUUCUGGAGACUUACUGGGUGGUCUACCUUAUGUUUCCUGUUUCGCGGAUUUGCCUGAUGGAUGA